AAUCUCUUGUCGGAGUGCCUAGUAUGCAAUGCAUCAGGCUGAGACCGUUAAUUCGGGAUCCGCGGAACCUGAUCGGGUUAAUACCCGCGAAGGGAACAAGAGUAAUCACUCA
rfam:Providencia rettgeri DSM 1131 genomic scaffold Scfld7, whole genome shotgun sequence.